rnacentral:lncRNA from 1 species
CUAGGCUGAUGUUAGCAUUAUGAUUAGUGCCUAGGAUUUAUCUAGUUCUCAUAUGUAUUUUGUGUUGUUCAUGUACUGUGCACUUUAAUUGAAGAUUAUUGUAUUUUUGGCGUUAGUAUACUACAAUGUUUCAUAUUGAUCAGUAAAACUUGACUGUUUAUUAUUUACUGAGUCUACUUAUCUAUUGCCAUACACCUAUUUGAUGAUAACAAAAAGGGAAAGAAGCAAGAAAAGAAAAAAGUUGCAAUAAGUUGACAAACAAGGUUGAAAAAUAUAAUAGGAGAUAAUAUACACUUAAGGGGGAGCAAUAUGUAAUAAUGAAAAUGUUAAAGUCUAAACUUUCAAUCAAAUUUCAGAAUUUGGCACAUACCUGUCAUACCUCGAUACAUAAUCUGAAACUCUUGCUUUAUCUCAAAUUUUUGAAGUUUCAUCUUUAACCAAAUAUAAAAGAAAGGGGGAGAAAAUCAAAAGUCUAAAUUGGCAAUAUUUGGAUGAAAAAGCGGGACACUUCACUCUCAAAUUUGAAAAGCUGAAAUUCAGCAACUUGAGCUCUUCUCAAAC